UGUCCUAGCUGCCAUGUUACUCUUUGGUCCAGUUGUCCUUUGUACAGGCUAUAUAAGGCAAAUGGUUUCAGAUUUCCACUCCCAAGUCUCCAUUCCCAUUUCUCCUGAGCUCAACUCAUGUCACUCCUAACAAUUGCAAGAAGACUACAGAUAUCCCAUUCCCGACUCCUUUUCCCACUUCUCUAUUCCGUCACCUACCCUCAUCCUCCCUCUCCCUCGAAUAACUCCAAUUAUCCUAUCUCUUUCUCUGCGGAAUUUCAUCGAACAGUGUCAAUAUCCACACGAUCCCCUCACCAUUUUUCCACUUCCCAAUCCUUCUCCACUCAAUAUCUCAACGUCUCUUUUGAGCUCAUUCAACAAGGAAUCCAAACCCAUGAACCUCUUCAAAUGGGCCUUCUCCAAUCACUCAAAAUGGCUGCCCAUUUUCCCUCUGAAGCAGAGGCUAUGGCUUCUCUGGAUGAGUCAGGCAUUAGAGCGAAUCAGAAUCUAGUGUAUUCAGUGAUAUGGGAACUAAGAGAAGAGUGGAGACUUGCUUUUCUGGCUUUUAAAUGGGGAGAUAAAUGGGGCUGUGUUGAUGAGAAAGCUUGUGAAUUGAUGGUGUGGGUUUUGGGUAAUCAUAGGAAGUUCAAUACUGCUUGGAUUUUGAUUAGAGAUUUGCACAGGUCCUUGAUGAGUACUAGAAAAGCUAUGCUUAUUAUGAUUGAUAGAUAUGCAGCUGCAAAUGUUCCUGGCAAAGCUAUUUAUGCAUUUCGCAUUAUGGAUAAGUUUAGAAUGACCCCCGAUGAAGAAGCAUUUUACUUCCUAUUGAAUGUUCUUUGUAAAAAUGGAAACAUUGAAGAGGCUGAAGAGUUUAUGCUUGUUAACAAGAAAUUCUUCCCAUUGGAGGUCGAGGGAUUUAACAUUAUUCUCAAUGGAUGGUGUAAUAUAUGUGUUGAUGUAUUUGAAGCAAAGCGAAUUUGGAGGGAAAUGUCAAAAUAUUGUAUUGACCCUGAUGCAACUACUUAUACACUCAUGAUUUCUUGCUUUUCAAAAGUUGGGAAUCUUUUUGAUUCACUGAGACUUUAUGAUGGGAUGAAAAAAAGAGGUUGGGUCCCGGGCAUUGAGGUUUAUAAUUCUCUGGUUUACGUAUUAACUCGUGAGAACUGCUUUAAGGAAGCUCUCAAAAUUCUUGACAAAAUGAAAGAAACAGGGUUGCAGCGAGAUUCUGCUACUUACAAUUUGAUGAUUCGUCCUUUGUGUGAGGCAAAAAAGCUAGAGGAUGCUAGAAGUUUAAUGGCUACCAUGAUAGAAGAGAAUGUCAGCCCAACAAUAGAAACCUACCAUGCAUUUCUUGAGGGUAUUGUUUUUGAAGAAACUUUUGAAGUCCUUGAUCGAAUGAAGAUAGCUGGUUUAGGCCCCACUGAAGAUACCUUUCUCUUACUUCUUGCAAAGUUCUUCAAACUAGAGCAACCUGAGAAUGCAUUGAAGAUAUGGGUGGAAAUGAAGCAGUAUGAAGUGGCUUCCAAUUUGACACAUUAUACAGUAAUGGUGGAAGGACUAGCAAGGUGUGGUUUAUUAACCAAGGCUCGAGAAUACUAUGCUGAGAUGAGGUCAAAUGGAUAUUCAGAUGAUCCUAAGAUUCAGAAAAUGUUGAAAAUGCCAGUUCAAGACAAGAAUGACAAGAGAAAAAAGCUGGGAGGGCAAUUUAAGAGAAAUCAACAUGUGAGUCACAAGAAAGGCAGCAUGGUCGGACGGAAAAGUCAUUGACACUAAUGAAGAAGAAGAAGAAGACACCAGUUGAACAGUUUGCAUAGAAAAAUACCGGGAUAUUGAUCUCAGAAAUCAUAGCUGAGAAAAUUUCUUUUCACCAGAUAUCAAUCUCUCAUUUUAUUGCAAGAGGUUUUAUUUCAGAGAACCUUGCAGUAUGCAUUGGCUAAUUCUCAACCUACUAUUCACAUGUGGACCUAUUAGUGAAUAGGCCUGAUCUAAGGUAGCUUUGACAAGGCCCAAAUUCUCAAGUAGGAAGGGGCAUCUCUGCAUGACUGGUUUCAAUCCUUGGCGGAGAAAAAUCUCAGGCACCUUCUCUUAUGUGAAAGGUAAUCCAGCCAGCAUUUCUUAAGAAUAAUACCGAGACAAUAUGUAUUUAUUAUAUUUUUCCUUUGUUGCCUGUAAAUAUCGUGUUUGUGGUCCACGGCAAUGUGGCUAGUGUGUCUCCGUCUUUAUUAGCUGUUAGAACAGGUAGAGUCAAUCAGGUUCCGGACAUACUCAUAAACGUUUUCCAGGCAAUCAAAGUUCAUGUAUUAAGUACCUCCUCUUGUCAUUGUGAGGAGCAUUAGAGAUGUGAUGACAUCCUAAACCGUGUCUAUCGAGCUUGUAAACAUACAAAACCGAUUGCUGAGCAGGAAUGUUUCUUCUCUAGCUUUUAGCUUGUC